UUCUUAGCUUAGUUGGUAGAGCACCCGCUUAGUAAGCGGGAGGUCGUCGGUUCGACUCCGGCAGAAG
rnacentral:tRNA from 1 species